rnacentral:rRNA from 1 species
GGUUACUGCUAUCGGUGUUCGCCUAAGCCAUGCGAGUCAUAUGUUCUUCGGAACAUGGCGUACUGCUCAGUAACACGUGGAUAACCUGCCCUUGGGUCCGGCAUAACCCCGGGAAACUGGGGAUAAUUCCGGAUAACGCACAUAUGCUGGAAUGCUUUAUGCGUCAAAUGGAUUCGUCCGCCCAAGGAUGGGUCUGCGGCCUAUCAGGUAGUAGUGGGUGUAAUGUACCUACUAGCCUACGACGGGUACGGGUUGUGAGAGCAAGAGCCCGGAGAUGGAUUCUGAGACAUGAAUCCAGGCCCUACGGGGCGCAGCAGGCGCGAAAACUUUACAAUGCGGGAAACCGUGAUAAGGGGACACCGAGUGCCAGCAUCAUAUGCUGGCUGUCCGGGUGUGUAAAAUACACCUGUUAGCAAGGGCCGGGCAAGACCGGUGCCAGCCGCCGCGGUAACACCGGCGGCCCGAGUGGUGAUCGUGAUUAUUGGGUCUAAAGGGUCCGUAGCCGGUUUGGUCAGUCCUCCGGGAAAUCUGACGGCUUAACCGUUAGGCUUUCGGGGGAUACUGCCAGACUUGGAACCGGGAGAGGUAAGAGGUACUACAGGGGUAGGAGUGAAAUCUUGUAAUCCCUGUGGGACCACCUGUGGCGAAGGCGUCUUACCAGAACGGGUUCGACGGUGAGGGACGAAAGCUGGGGGCACGAACCGGAUUAGAUACCCGGGUAGUCCCAGC